rnacentral:lncRNA from 1 species
GUGAGCGUGCAGUUUGUAAAACCAGCUUCAAAGCACUGUGGAACCGCCUUCUCCCACACAUCAAAAGUUGCCGGCUGCGCACAGAUCUCUGCUGGCAGUGCCAGAGCAAUAACGAGCAGCUGAUAUGAAGUGCAAACCUCCCAGAUGAUAGAAAGUCUAAAGCAGUAAAGAAGCAACAAGAUCAUCUUUCCCUUGUGCAGAAAGAGAGGGCUGUGUACAACGACAUGACUGCUGCCUGCAGAAAGAUUUGCUCUGGCUCUAAUCUGUCUUUUGGACCGUCCCUACCAGCAAGCAAGAAGAUUAGGAUGCAUAACAGUUUUGAUUUUGCUCAGCAGUUACACUUUCCCUCAAACCCUCUCCAGCCAGGACCAAUGUACUUCCUGACCCCACAGAAAUGUGGCCUAUUUGGUGUUUCCUGUGAAGGGCUGCAUAAACAGGUGAAUUACCUGAUUGAUGAAGGCAUGUCAUCUACUAAGGGAAGCAAUGAAGUCAUCAGCUACAUGCAUCAUUUCUUCGGCAACUUUGGAGUUGGAGAAACAGAGGUGGAUCUUCAUUGUGACAACUACAGUGGGCAGAACAAGAACAACUUUCAUGCUCUGGUACCUUGCCUGGCAGGUUGGACACAAGCUUCACGAUAAAAUUGAAAUCAACUUCCUUAUUGCUGGCCACACCAAGUUUUCCCCUGACUGUGGCUUUGGACUCAUCAAGCAAGCCUACAUGAAGACAAGAGUCAACACUUUGACAGACAUCGCUGAGGUUGUGGAAAACAGCUCUCCUGUGAGUCACCUCAAUAUCCCACAGCUUGUUGGAACGGCAGAGGGCAAAAUUUUAGUCCAGACCUUCGACUGGCAGCAGCAUCUGACUCACCACUUCCGUAGACUCCCACAGAUCAAGAGUUAUCAGCACUUCAGCUUUGACGCCAAGAGACCAGGUGUGGUGCUUGCAAAAACUCACCGUGAUGCACAACCUGUCGAAUAUCAGUUACUGCGCGACGGAGCAGAUCUGCCCCCUAUCGACGGUCUUCCUGUUCUGGGCCCACCUGGACUGAACAUUGACAGGCAGACCUAUCUGUAUGAAAAAAUCAGGCCAUUCUGUGCUGACGAGGCAAGAGACAUCACAUGCGCAGAGCCAAGGGUCAAAACACAGAAGAGACCACAGAAGAGGAUGCGAAUGUGAUAUCAUUGGACAUUGAAAGUGCUUGAAUUUAUUUUGUGCAAUAAGUUUUCUGGAAGAAAUUCCAUAUUAUUCUCUCCGGUCCGAUAAUGUGUUAUUUCGCCAACACUUCAUGGACUAUGCUUGAUUUAGUUAGUUACUUGCAUUUCCGCGUUAUGUUAAGUGUUUCCCGCGUGAGGUAAUUUUUUGUUGUAUGUUGCCAUGAUGUUCACGCCCGCACAAAACUACUACGGUACCUCAGCGUUUCACAGACACACUGUGAAAUGACUGGUUGCAUGAGCCUAAGCUCUUUUCAAUAAAAUCCAUGCAAAAGUUAAUAUCAGAUCAUUUUAGAAUACAGUAUAGGAUGUACCGAAUAUUCUUCAGUUUUAUGCAAAAUAUGACGAACAGAAUAUAAGACCUCUGUCAUAUGGCCAAAAAUAAAUGCAAAAAAAAGCUUUUUGCAUAGUUGUGUUUGACACAUGAAAACUGUAACAAUGUAUUUUACAAGGUAACACGAUGUAACCUUGCUCUCACUCGAAAUGUGUCCCCAUAUUAAGUCCUUGAAUUUGAGGGUAUUGGACCUGGAAAGUCCUUGAAAGGUUCUUGAAUUUGAAGUGAACCAAGCUGUGGGAACGCUGUAUUAACAACUAUCCAAACUGUUUUAGACCGAGAAGAGUCAUUGUAAGCCUAUGUUACCCUUAAAUGUCAGAGAAAAGAACAGAAUCAGAGAUUAAUUUCUUUCUUAUAAAAAAUUGUACUUUGCAUAUUAUACUAUAAAAACACAUAAUUAUAGUUGAUUUUAGUUUAUCAUAGUUGAUCAUAACUAGAGAUGAAAUGGCAUGAAAAUUUCAUUUCAUGAUUAUAGUGACCAAAAUGAUCACGGUUAUCACAGAAUCCUGUUCAAAAAGUCCUAAUGCUACACAAUGAAAUCAAUUCACCAAGUUUUAUGUAGAAAACCAGCAAAUAACAAAUAAAAUUAGCAUCAAUAUGUACUUUUUGUUUACAUAAACAGUAAAAUAAUAACAUUAAUUUGAAGUGAACCAAGCUGUGGGAACGCUGUAUUAACAACUAUCCAAACUGUUUUAGACCGAGAAGAGUCAUUGUAAGCCUAUGUUACCCUUAAAUGUCAGAGAAAAGAACAGAAUCAGAGAUUAAUUUCUUUCUUAUAAAAAAUUGUACUUUGCAUAUUAUACUAUAAAAACACAUAAUUAUAGUUGAUUUUAGUUUAUCAUAGUUGAUCAUAACUAGAGAUGAAAUGGCAUGAAAAUUUCAUUUCAUGAUUAUAGUGACCAAAAUGAUCACGGUUAUCACAGAAUCCUGUUCAAAAAGUCCUAAUGCUACACAAUGAAAUCAGUUCACCAAGUUUUAUGUAGAAAACCAGCAAAUAACAAAUAAAAUUAGCAUCAAUAUGUACUUUUUGUUUACAUAAACAGUAAAAUAAUAACAUUAAAAAUGAUGGCCAGAUUUUAAAGGAGUGUCUUGCAACGUUAUCUACAAUGCACAAGUUCAAAUAGAGUUUUGACAAAAAAGGUUUUAUAAAAAGAUAAAACUCUCAUAUUUCAGCCUCUAAAUAAUUUUUAGAAAAG